rnacentral:misc_RNA from 1 species
AACUUUUAACAAUGGAUCUCUUGGCUCUCGCAUCGAUGAAGAACGCAGCGAAAUGCGAUAAGUAAUGUGAAUUGCAGAAUUCAGGGAAUCAUCGAAUCUUUGAACGCACCUUGCGCCCUUUGGCUAUUCUGAAGGGCAUGCCUGUUUGAGUAUCAUGAACACCUCAACUCUCAUGGUCCGCCAUGAUGAGCUUGGACUUUGGGGGUCUUGCCGGCCUAGUGUCGGCUCCUCUCAAAUGGAUCAGCUUGCCAGUGUUUGGUGGCGUCACAGGUGUGAUAACUAUCUACGCUUGUGGUUUUCUGCCAUAUAACCUUCAGUGAUGGAGGUUCUCUGGAGCUCACAGAUGUCUCUCCUUGGGGAGGACAGCUUUUGAACGUUUGAUCUCAAAUCAGGUAGGACUACCCGCUGAACUUAAGCAUAUCAAUAAGCGGAGGCU